CAGUCUUCUCCAGCUUUACUCUCCGAGUGCUUUAGGACAGUAAUGAGCGUAACCUGAGUGCUAGCGCCCCCUAUCGGCCCGUCUGCAGGGCUGACGGCUCCAUGUUCGGCUGUAGAACCCAAUGACUAACGGUACCAGAGGUCCAAUCUGCCGGGCUCAGCAGCACCAGACUAUAACCUGUGUAACCAUCUGAAUCCUCUGUGAUUGGAUAAAUCUGAUCAGAUACCUGUGAAAACAUUCAAUGUUUUUAUCUAAAGUGCUUCAAGAUGAUGUUUGUUGAUCUUUCUAGACAAUUUAUUAUUAAUAUCUGUAUCGUUUAUAAUGUUGGGCAGCAGAAAUAAUAAUAAUCAGACACUUCUCAAGUCUGAGCAUUUCUGAAUAUCACAGCUCAACUUUACAGUCAUAAGCUUCUACAGCUGAGAAUCUACUGCUCCAAAACCAAUAAUCAGUAAUCAAUAAUCAAGGAAGAUAACUGCAAGACUUAAACCAACUUCAAUAAAACAGCAGCUAAACCA